UACGAAGGGGGCUAGCGUUGUUCGGAAUUACUGGGCGUAAAGCGCACGUAGGCGGACAUUUAAGUCAGGAGUGAAAUCCCGGAGCUCAACUCCGGAACUGCCUUUGAUACUGGGUGUCUUGAGUAUGGAAGAGGUUAGUGGAAUUGCGAGUGUAGAGGUGAAAUUCGUAGAUAUUCGCAGGAACACCAGUGGCGAAGGCGGCUAACUGGUCCAUAACUGACGCUGAGGUGCGAAAGCGUGGGGAGCAAACAGG
rnacentral:rRNA from 1 species